rnacentral:lncRNA from 1 species
ACCUUUCUCCUGAUUCCACACUGAUUUAUGGGACACCUACUAUGUAUCAGGCACACUUAGGUAGUGGCCAUGGUACAGUGCUAAUGGACAUAGAUAUGACUCCAACCACAGAGAGUUUGUAGCCUAAAGCAGGGUUUGGCACUUUUGUUAUAAAGAAGCAACAAUCAAAUAUUUUAGGCGUUGUGGGUCGGAUGGUCUUGUUCAACUCUAAUGACAUAGUGUGAAGUUAGCCAUAGGUAGCAUGUAAACGAUGUAGCAUGAAGUCAGCUGUGGUCAGUAUGCAAAUAAAGGGGGAAUGUGCUAGUUUGAGGCUGUGAACUAAAGUUUUCCUAUCUCUGGUCUAAACCCAGUACCCCCGACUAGAACUUUCUACUUGACAAAAUUAGUCUACCCAUCUCAGCUAUCGAUCAUUCGAAGUGUGACUGACCAAUGAUAACACAAGUACAUUUAUUCCCCUCACCCAUUUGGCUCACAGCAGCCACCUGAAGCUCUUGGCUUCCUGGAAAGCACAUGUCUAAAAAGCCCUGGGACAGGGGGUAGCACUUUAGCGUAAGCCCCCUGCACUGUAUGUGAUUAAUUGAGUUGUGCCUUGUUUUGUGUUAUUUGUAUGUGUGUGUGUUCGGUUUUGUUUCUCUCUCUCUUUCCAGUAAACGAAUGGCUCCUCAAGUAGGGAACUAAGCCAAGAAGAAUCCCACCUCAGUGAAAUUCUACAACUGUGAAUUGACGUAACCCAGAAUGCCCCCUUUCCCGUCCUUCCUCCCCUAAGCCUUUCACUCUUUGGAUUGGCCCCCCCUUUUCAUGAGAAUUGUCUGCAAAAAUGUUUCAGAGGAGUACAUCCCUCUGUGCACACACACACACACACACACACACACACACACACACACCCCUCCAUGAUGGGAAAGCCAAGUUUCAGAAACAAAGGUUCAUUCAUCAAAGGUCUUAGAAGAAAACAACCAGUUAACCUGAUUACAAUUUUGAUACUGUUUUCCUGAACUAAUAACUCAACCCAAUAAGACUUCGCAGCCUUUGUAUAUACAAAAUUCUUCCAAAAGAGAGUGGGGAGAAAAACACCGCUCUAAAAGCAUCCAGCGGACUCUGCACUGCACCUCAUCGUCUCUGACAGCGUCCUGGGGCUACUCCGAGGGUGCUGUGACAGGUGAACCAGGACAAAGCUGACCGAGGACACUUAUUUCUAGAUUAUGAUUCUUCUGUUUACUCAAUGAUUUAAAAAGAAAAUCUUCAAAAAAAAAUAAAUAAAAGGACAGACAUCAAAGAGCUAUACGUUGUAUAUAUUUAUCACCGCAGACUAUAAGAAUGGAAUUAUUUCCCUCUUUGUCACAUAACUGUACUAGGACUUGCCCGAGAUCAGAAUCGAUUCAUUCGCUGUCUCUUGUUUUCCGGAGGUCAUACAUUGUGUUUGGUUAUUGUUAAGAGCCCAAUAAAUGUGUUCAAUGCGUUGAUUUCAUUUUUCUGGCUUUGGUCUGUCCUCCCUCCUGCCAGGCUCAGCCCAUGCAGCUACCUUCUUGGAUCUCCCGUGUCCCUUCAUCUCCAUGUUUUGUUCAUUUGCAGCCAGUUUUACUGAGUUUGUGGCAAGCAGGAAUGCAUUUGCUAAGCAGGUAUAUCUUUCACUCCACUCCAUGGCUCGACCAUUCAUCCCAGGUGAGCUUCGCCUCACGUAGCAGGCGACAGACUCCUUGCGUUUCAAAACUGCCAUUCCCCACCCCCAGCCCCCAACCCCUGUGAUGCUCCCAAAGGAAUGCACUUUGCCUUGUAAAUUCCUGGGAAAAUGGGGUAUCUUUUCUCUCCAGGUGCAGCCAGAUCUCACAAAGUACAAAAGAAUGCCUUUCUUUUCUUGUUUAUAAUGGUCACUCACUGUGUUUGGUUACUGUCAAAAAAAAAAAAUCAAUAAAUGUGUUUAACAAGUUGC